CUGAGAUGAGAUGAGCUCUCUCCCUUAUGUGGAGAAGUCCUUUUAGGAAUCUGCCAUGUUUAAAUGUGUGGCAUGGGGGAAAGGAAUAUGGCUAAUAAUCACUAUGCAAAAUAAGAAAUGCAUUUAAAAGUUGAUACAGUAUGGAGGAAAGGUGUGACCCUUUCUGCAGAUGUGAGGACUUUGGACUUGGGCCGGAACUACACAUCAGCUCUCCUGGGCCUCUAGCUUGCCAACUACGGACACUGUGACUUUUCAGCCAUCACAAUU
rnacentral:lncRNA from 1 species